rnacentral:lncRNA from 1 species
UGGGGCAGAGGUCAGGCCCAGAGUGCUGAAGUGCUGAAGCUCCUGUAGAAGGUCCUUCCAUGUGUCUUUCAGAUCCUGGGCUUGGCCUUCUCCAUAACCAUCACCCAGCACAUCCACUGGACUGGGUCUUGCUCUGUCAUCCAGACUGGAGUACAGUGGUGCAACCACGGCUCACUGCAGCCUUGAACUCCUGGGCUCAAGCAAUCCUCCUACCUCAGCCUCCAUAGCAGUCGGGACCACAGAAGUUGCCUGCUUCCCCUUCGCCUUUGCCUUCUGCCAUGAUUAUAAGUUUCCUGAGGCCUCCCAGCCAUGCUUCCUGUUAAGCCUGUGAAACUCCCCCAAUGGUGGAGCGAGUCGGGAAUCUCGGCUGCUGCAGGUGGAGCUCAGCUGGACAGCCUGAGCGUGGCCAUCCAGCCUGCCCUGAUUUCUCCUGAGCAUACAAGUGCCUGGUCCACACGUCCACAAGGUAACAAGGAAUGCAUUGCCAAAUACCUGGCUGAAAUCAAGGACACUGACAGAGGAUGCAGGAGGAGGAAACGUCACUUACCCUCUGGUAAUACACAUGGGCCAGGACUCCCGCCACCAGCUCAACCAGGAAGAUGACGAGCAACAGGCAGAAAUACUAGCAGCAAAGAGAGAGGACGGUCACCACUGGGAUCGGGUUGCUGCUAUGACAAAUGUUUCCCCACAGUGGUGGGGGUGGUAGAGAUACCUGCUGGGACCCCUAUCAUCCAUGCCAUCUUCCUCCUGGAUGUACCAGCCUCACUGGCUGCUGGCACCAAGUUCCCCACUUACUCCUUCCCUCUUUGGUCUGCUGAC